CCUACGGGAGGCAGCAGUGGGGAAUUUUGGACAAUGGGCGCAAGCCUGAUCCAGCCAUGCCGCGUGAGUGAAGAAGGCCUUCGGGUUGUAAAGCUCUUUCGGCCGGGAAGAAAUCGUGGUCUCUAACAUAGGCCAUGGAUGACGGUACCGGACUAAGAAGCACCGGCUAACUACGUGCCAGCAGCCGCGGUAAUACGUAGGGUGCGAGCGUUAAUCGGAAUUACUGGGCGUAAAGCGUGCGCAGGCGGUUUUGUAAGACAGAUGUGAAAUCCCCGGGCUUAACCUGGGAACUGCGUUUGUGACUGCAAGGCUAGAGUACGGCAGAGGGGGGUGGAAUUCCUGGUGUAGCAGUGAAAUGCGUAGAGAUCAGGAGGAACACCGAUGGCGAAGGCAGCCCCCUGGGCCUGUACUGACGCUCAUGCACGAAAGCGUGGGGAGCAAACAGGAUUAGAUACCCUGGUAGUCCACGCCCUAAACGAUGUCGACUAGUCGUUCGGAGCAGCAAUGCACUGAGUGACGCAGCUAACGCGUGAAGUCGACCG
rnacentral:rRNA from 1 species